GAAUCUGAGGGUGAUCUAGCUGUGACAUCAGUCACCCCAAUUGUUUACCAGGGUUGAUUCGGCUGAUCUGGGUGGGUAGGCAAGUGUCUCCUUUCUCCCUCAUUGGUCCAUGUGGGUCCCUCCUGAAGCUGCAUGCUCAGUCUAAGAGGACAACCACCCCCAAUAGAGGAGGACCAUUUCCUUAGUCAUGGAUAUACAAAUAACUACAAUUCCUUGCUAGAACCUCCAAAGAAGCUCUCAAAAUUAAAAGUAAAGUUAAAUACCUUCAACAUAUAAUGGCACAAAGAAAGCAUUU
rnacentral:snRNA from 1 species